GCUACACAUGCAGUCGAGCGGUAACAGAAAGUAGCUUGCUACUUUGCUGACGAGCGGCGGACGGGUGAGUAAUGCUUGGGAACAUGCCUUGAGGUGGGGGACAACAGUUGGAAACGACUGCUAAUACCGCAUAAUGUCUACGGACCAAAGGGGGCUUCGGCUCUCGCCUUUAGAUUGGCCCAAGUGGGAUUAGCUAGUUGGUGAGGUAAUGGCUCACCAAGGCAACGAUCCCUAGCUGGUUUGAGAGGAUGAUCAGCCACACUGGAACUGAGACACGGUCCAGACUCNUACGGGAGGCAGCAGUGGGGAAUAUUGCACAAUGGGCGCAAGCCUGAUGCAGCCAUGCCGCGUGUGUGAAGAAGGCCUUCGGGUUGUAAAGCACUUUCAGUCAGGAGGAAAGGUUAGUAGUUAAUACCUGCUAGCUGUGACGUUACUGACAGAAGAAGCACCGGCUAACUCCGUGCCAGCAGCCGCGGUAAUACGGAGGGUGCGAGCGUUAAUCGGAAUUACUGGGCGUAAAGCGUACGCAGGCGGUUUGUUAAGCGAGAUGUGAAAGCCCCGGGCUCAACCUGGGAACUGCAUUUCGAACUGGCAAACUAGAGUGUGAUAGAGGGUGGUAGAAUUUCAGGUGUAGCGGUGAAAUGCGUAGAGAUCUGAAGGAAUACCGAUGGCGAAGGCAGCCACCUGGGUCAACACUGACGCUCAUGUAC
rnacentral:rRNA from 1 species